GCCCCAGGCCAGGGAGGCACAGAGUCUAGGGGGCUGGGGACAGUCAGGGCAGGGGCCAGCACGGUCAGGCCAGGAGGCGAAAGGUCAGGCGUGGGCGGCAUCACGAGGGUGUGCACAGGUGCCUCAGGCCAGGCAUUUAAGCGUGCCCCGGGCAGGGUGAGACCUGGACCCAGUGGAGCAAUGAAACACUCACCUUCAUCCUGGCAUGCGACAGCCGUUUAGGAUGGCCCAUCUCACUUGCUCCUUUGCCAUGGUGCCCCAGGCCUUCCACAAGUCAGAAAUGUUCCUGGCUCUCCCACAGG
rnacentral:lncRNA from 1 species